rnacentral:rRNA from 1 species
UUAGUUCGUGGAGUGAUUUGUCUGCUUAAUUGCGUUAACGAACGAGACCUUAACCUGCUAAAUAGGAGCGCAUAUCUUCGGAUAAGCGCCUUUCUUCUUAGAGGGACUUUAUGCGUUUCAGCAUGAGGAAGUUUGAGGCUAAAACAGG